rnacentral:rRNA from 1 species
UACGAAGGGGGCUAGCGUUGUUCGGAAUUACUGGGCGUAAAGCGCGCGCAGGCGGCUAUCCAAGUCAGUGGUGAAAGCCCGGAGCUCAACUCCGGAACUGCCAUUGAAACUGUUUAGCUUGAGGACGAGAGAGGUGAGUGGAAUUCCCAGUGUAGAGGUGGAAUUCGUAGAUAUUGGGAAGAACACCGGUGGCGAAGGCGGCUCACUGGCUCGUUUCUGACGCUCAGGCGCGACAGCGUGGGGAUCAAACAGG